CUGAACUGUCAGCCAUGGGGGCCAGAGUGACAGCCAGUGAGAAGGAGGUGGAGGAACAGAAAAAGGAGGUGACAGCUCUUAGAGAGGAGCUGAGCGUCACCACUACUGAACUGUCAGCCAUGAGGGCCAGAGUGACAGCCAGUGAGAAGGAGGUGGAGGAACAGAAAAAGGAGGUGACAGCUCUUAGAGAGGAGCUGAGCGUCACCAUUACUGAACUGCAGCUCUAGAAGAACAAGGUGGAGGAGCUGGAGAAAGACAAUACAGGACAAGCAGCUGAACUGUCAGCCAUGGGGGUCAGAAUGACAGCCAGUGAGGAGUUGGAAGAGCUGGACAGAGAAUGCAGAACUGACUGUUGAGUGAACUGUGUUUGGUUGCAAGUGAUGUUAUCCCCAGAGGCCAGAGUGACAGCCAGCGAGAGUGGGAAAGCAGCCUUGGAGGGCAGACUGAGUUCCAGUGAGACGGAGGUGGAGGAGAUGAAGAGAGAGAAAAUGAACACUGAUCAUUCAAUCUCAUUGUUACUUAACGCCAGGGAGGCCAGAGUGACAGCUUGUGAGAUUAUAUCCAAUGCCUUCGGAAAGUAUUCAGACCCCUUGACUUUUACAUAAGUAUUCAGACUCUACUCAGUACUUUGUUGAAGCACCUUUGGCAGCGAUUACAGCCUCGAUGCUAUAUGCUUGACACACCUGGGAGUUUCUCCAAUUCUUCUCUGCAGAUCCUCUCAAGCUAUGUCAGGUUGGAUGGGGAGCAUUGC